rnacentral:rRNA from 1 species
GACGAACGCUGGCGGCGUGCUUAACACAUGCAAGUCGAGCGAUGAAGCACCUUCGGGUGUGAAUUAGCGGCGAACGGGUGAGGAACACGUGAGAAAUCUGCCUUCAACACUGGGAUAACUCCGGGAAACCGGGGCUAAUACCGGAUAUGAAACCUGCGGGCAUCCGCGGGUUUGGAAAGUUUUUCGGUUGAAGAUGAUCUCGCGGCCUAUCAGCUUGUUGGUGAGGUAAUGGCUCACCAAGGCGACGACGGGUAGCCGGCCUGAGAGGGCGACCGGCCACACUGGGACUGAGACACGGCCCAGACUCCUACGGGAGGCAGCAGUGGGGAAUAUUGGGCAAUGGAGGAAACUCUGACCCAGCGACGCCGCGUGCGGGAUGAAGGCCUUCGGGUUGUAAACCGCUUUCAGCAGGGAAGAAGCGAAAGUGACGGUACCUGCAGAAGAAGCACCGGCUAACUAUGUGCCAGCAGCCGCGGUAAUACAUAGGGUGCAAGCGUUGUCCGGAAUUAUUGGGCGUAAAGAGCUCGUAGGUGGUUCGUCACGUCGGAUGUGAAACUCUGGGGCUUAACCCCAGACCUGCAUUCGAUACGGGCGAGCUUGAGUAUGGUAGGGGAGUACUGGAAAUUCCUGGUGUAGCGGUGGGAAUGCGCAGAUAUCAGGGAGGGAACACCAAUGGCGGAAAGGCAGGACUUCUGGGCCAUUACUGACA